UUCCUUCCUUCUGCUCCCUAUUAUGACCUUGGUCCCCUGUGGAGUCAGAUUUUCCUGAGUCGAGAUAUGCCUUUUUAGGUCUUCCUCAGAUGAUUUGGUUGAUUGAUAUCUCUCACUCAUAUACCGGUCUUAGAUAUUCAUUCUUCCUGAGCUUGGUGUUCUUUCACCCUUAUACCGGUGAUCAGAUCACAUGUCUCAUUGAGCUUGUUACCCAGUAACCGGUAACACCUCAUUCCGCUGCUUCCCCAAGGGAGUCUUUUUUAAGACAUCCCCAGUGAAGUCCCUUAGUGGAUUGUUUUUGCCCGGAUUUUUAUCCGAAGUAUCCAUUGCGGAUAGUUUUGCUGUGUUGGCGUUUUUCCCAAUACCUACAUUUUCCCCGGCAGGGAUGUUUUGUUCAAAUCUUUCCCCAGCCUGAGUCCGGAUUUUUAUCCGAAGUAUCCAUUGCAGAUAGUUUUGUUGUGUUGGCAUAUUCCCCAACACAUGCAUCUUUGAGUCAGCUUGAGUCUUUC
rnacentral:lncRNA from 1 species